rnacentral:rRNA from 1 species
CGCGUAGUUAGCCGGUGCUUCUUUACCCAUUACCGUCACUCACGCUUCGUCACAGGCGAAAGCGGUUUACAACCCGAAGGCCGUCAUCCCGCACGCGGCGUUGCUGCAUCAGGCUUCCGCCCAUUGUGCAAUAUUCCCCACUGCUGCCUCCCGUAGGAGUCUGGGCCGUAUCUCAGUCCCAAUGUGGCCGGUCACCCUCUCAGGCCGGCUACCCGUCAAAGCCUUGGUAAGCCACUACCCCACCAACAAGCUGAUAAGCCGCGAGUCCAUCCCCAACCGCCGAAACUUUCCAACCCCCACCAUGCAGCAGGAGCUCCUAUCCGGUAUUAGCCCCAGUUUCCUGAAGUUAUCCCAAAGUCAAGGGCAGGUUACUCACGUGUUACUCACCCGUUCGCCACUCGAGCACCCCACAAAAGCAGGGCCUUUCCGUUCGACUUGCAUGUGUUAAGCACGCCGCCAGCGUUCGUCCUGAGCCAGGAUCAAACUCU